rnacentral:lncRNA from 1 species
UCUGCCCACAGACUUGAGGGGAAAUAGAGGCAUCAAAAUAAAAUACUACUGAACUGAAUCUCUAUUGCUUUCAGGUAGAAACUCAAGUGGAAUGUGCAAUAAUGAAAUAAUAGAACAUAGGAAGUGUUAAUGGUUGAGUCUUUCACCUACCUUGAUGUCACCAUUAAUGUGUUCUUUGAAGAAAGAUCUUUCUAUGGACCCUUUCUACUGCAGCAGCAAAACCCUAAC